rnacentral:rRNA from 1 species
GCGAACGCUGGCGGCAGGCCUAACACAUGCAAGUCGAACGAACUCUUCGGAGUUAGUGGCGGACGGGUGAGUAACACGUGGGAACGUGCCUUUUGGUUCGGAAUAACUCAGGGAAACUUGUACUAAUACCGAAUGUGCCCUUCGGGGGAAAGAUUUAUCGCCAUUAGAGCGGCCCGCGUCUGAUUAGCUAGUUGGUGAGGUAACGGCUCACCAAGGCGACGAUCAGUAGCUGGUCUGAGAGGAUGACCAGCCACACUGGGACUGAGACACGGCCCAGACUCCUACGGGAGGCAGCAGUGGGGAAUCUUGCGCAAUGGGCGAAAGCCUGACGCAGCCAUGCCGCGUGAAUGAUGAAGGUCUUAGGAUUGUAAAAUUCUUUCACCGGGGACGAUAAUGACGGUACCCGGAGAAGAAGCCCCGGCUAACUUCGU